UAGGGAAUCUUCGGCAAUGGACGAAAGUCUGACCGAGCAACGCCGCGUGAGUGAAGAAGGUUUUCGGAUCGUAAAACUCUGUUGUUAGAGAAGAACAAGGACGUUAGUAACUGAACGUCCCCUGACGGUAUCUAACCAGAAAGCCACGGCUAACUACGUGCCAGCAGCCGCGGUAAUACGUAGGUGGCAAGCGUUGUCCGGAUUUAUUGGGCGUAAAGCGAGCGCAGGCGGUUUCUUAAGUCUAAUGUGAAAGCCCCCGGCUCAACCGGGGAGGGUCAUUGGAAACAGGGAGACUGGAGUGCAGAAGAGGAGAGUGGAAUUGCAUGUGUAGCGGUGAAAUGCGUAGAUAUAUGGAGGAACACCAGUGGCGAAGGCGGCUCUCUGGUCUGUAACUGACGCUGAGGCUCGAAAGCGUGGGGAGCAAACAGG
rnacentral:rRNA from 1 species